CUCAAAGGAUCUUCCCACCUCAGCCUCAAGAAGACAACAGAAGAUGGCACUGAAGGCUUUGGCUCUGGAAAAAGAGUUACCUGGAUACUGAUCCUGACAUCUCUCACUUAAACUCUACAAGUCUCACUUUCUCAUCAGAUAGUACUUUAAUCAGCAUUUAAUGACCCAGUCGAAAAUUCAUCGUUUGGACCCAAGCACUGGUGGGAAUGCAGGAGGAGAGGCCUGCCUGCCUGCCUUGCUCCCUCCCUCCUGAGCCCUACAGCAGGCCAUGGAGUGGUAGGCUUGGCCCAUUCUCUAGACCUUGGAAGAUAAUGUUCCAUAGAGGCUUGUUCUGAGGCUUUACCAGGACAAACCAGAGAAGAACCAAGCAAUGUAACUCAUCCCAGCCUAACUAUCCUUCAAGGGCAAUCAACCUACAGCAUCCAAGCACAGAGAAAUCAAAUCCAUGGAGAAUCUUUCAGUUAGGCUCAGAAUUUAUUUGGGACACUGGAUUCACUGUUCUCAAGAUCUUAGUUGUGUUCAUCCAUGAUUUGACCUACUUUAGAGUGAGAAGAUAGUCUUCCUGGGCUCAGACUAGUUGAAGGUAAGGAGACAGGCCACUGGGUGUGGGGAGACCUCUCGUGGGAUAAUACACACACAAAACCAAGAGCUGCUCACUGUGGUGCAGGAGACAGCAGGGGCCUGAAGCCAGAGGUUCUCUCUGUGUCCUUGAAUACACUUUACUCCUCUGACCCCUUACUGUGAUUUGGAGAGAGACAGUAUAGGAUGGGCUCUGCAGGCAGGGAGGUCUGGUUAUAGUCCCAGCUCUUCCUAAAUUGGGUAAGACUCAUUCUGAGACUUAGUUUCCUCUAUCAUCUCUCAAUAGAACCAUAAAGGUACUUUCUUCUUAGUAUUGUUUUAAAAUUCAGUAAAAUAAUAAAAGCUUAGCACAGGGUCUGAUAUAAAUUUUCAAUGAAUUAUUGUUGUCAAUAUUGUUCUAGAAAACAAGAGAGCAUAUUAGAAGAUCAAAAGUACUGCCAACCACUGAAGUGCCAAUUCUAGAUCCAGUCUCAGCCUUUUGAGAACUGAUAUCGUUGUUUUCAAGCCAUUCAAAAACCAAUGUGAAUUGAAGACCUAGUAUGAGCCCUCUGGGGGAAGAGCCAAGUCCUGCAUUUUUUAUCUUAAGGGGUCUUCAGUUACUCUCGCCCACAACAGUAUCUCCAUUAGGAUUCCUCUCUGAUAGUGUUCAUUUCUUUUUUCUCGAUGGAUGCCUUAAAAAAAAAAUCCUUGAAGAAAACCUGUACUCCUCAAAUAUACCACUCAGGAAACCUGUUCUCCUCAAUGGUCACUCAGGUGACCAUUAAAUCAUUUACAUGUUAAUUGCUUUUCAGAUAUGUGUCUUUUUCCCUAGUUACAUAAUGAGAACCUUGAAGGCAGGGACAGAUCUUAGACUUCCUGAUGCCCCCAUACAUCUAGGUACAGAGUAGGUCCCUGGACAUCCGUAUAAGGCCCAUGAGCCUGAUAGCUGCCCAGGUGGGUACUGUGUGCCUGGGCCUGGGAAGGACAAAAGAAAGGGCACUAAAGGGGUUCCUGGGAAUGAAGAGGCCCUCUGACUUUAGAAGGGAGCCCAUACACUUUUUGGACUGGAACAAUCAGAAAGUUCUUUCUGGAGCAGCAGCAGCCAGAAAGACCUGGGGCACUGGGUGGACCAAAGCCCUUCCCAAGGCUGCAGUGGCCCCAGCCAGUUAGCCCAGCCUCCCUACCAGCCCCAGGGUUGCAACUGAACAGUGCUGGCCUCUUAAUAAAAACAGCACCAAAGCAAAGCCCUAACUUCACUGGAGAAAUAGCCCUGCGCCCUUCCAUCCAUUAACAUUUUGCACCUUAAUGCGGCCAUAUUUUUGGAAAGCCAAUUCAUAUUGGCUGAGUAGCUUAUUGGUAUGCAGCUCUGGUUAGGGGUGGGGGAUCCUGGGAGGGGGGCACUCUGCAAAGGGGAUGUAAUUAAGCCUCAGAAUGGUCGAUAUAUACCCCAAAAGGGGGGGCGGUACUUGGGGGACCUAGAGCAAGACUGAUGGGCUUGUCCAAAAGGUUUGUGUGUAUGAAGGCUUGACCGUUUCUGGGAAGUCCCACCGUGACUGCCACCCUUGCUCACCCCUGGCCCCCACCAGAGCAGGGCCACCCACUCACCCUUUGGGUGUCUAACUUCGAAUUUCCCAAGCAGACCCUAUCGGGCAGCUCUUCUAAAAUAAAAUACAUCAUCAUUUGCUCCAUUAGAAAAUAAAUGUAUGGCUAUAUUAUGGGAUUUGCAUUCCAUUACCUUGGUUUGCAUGCCAUAAAACAUUUAUUACACCCUUGGGCUAAAGUCUUAAUAAUGACUGGGUGUGAGGCACUAAUGUGGUGCUGGUCUUGCUCAGGAACCAGAGAUUAAUGCCUUUUGAUGUCACUCAGCUAAUAGUUGUGCUCACCAAUUUGUCCCAUCAGAAGACAUUAGAGUCAGGCCCUGUGCAAGGGUGGGGGAACCACGGCUCAGCUUCAGCUGGGAAUCGAGGCUCUCUGUUCAAAACUGCCGGAAUGAAAUCUCAGAGU